rnacentral:lncRNA from 1 species
UAUUUUGAAUCAAGUGAAAAUCCUAAAAAUUCCAAAAAAAUUGGGAGAAAUAAGAAACAGGAAUGCACAAAAAAUCGAACGAACAGAAUGUAAAGGAAGAAAAAUGGAAGAAGAAUAGCAAGAAAAAAUAUAGGAGGAGAGUUCUGGAACUAACCUAGGCUGGUCCGAAGGAUGCUGGGGAUGACUCGAAAAAUGCCUAAGGUCGAGAAGGAUGCUGGGGAAGAACAAAACUCUCAGGAAGAAGGAG